UACGUAGGGUGCGAGCGUUAAUCGGAAUUACUGGGCGUAAAGCGUGCGCAGGCGGUUCGUUGUGUCGGCGGUGAAAGCCCCGGGCUUAACUUGGGAAUUGCGCUCGAAACUACUUUGCUGGAGUGUGGCAGAGGAAGGUGGAAUUCCACGUGUAGCGGUGAAAUGCGCAGAUAUCAGGAGGAACACCAAUGGCGAAGGCAGCACUCUGGGACGUGACUGACGCUGAGACGCGAAAGCGUGGGGAGCAAACAGG
rnacentral:rRNA from 1 species